rnacentral:rRNA from 1 species
ACGUAGGCGGCAAGCGUUGUCCGGAAUUAUUGGGCGUAAAGGGAGCGCAGGCGGGAAACUAAGCGGAUCUUAAAAGUGCGGGGCUCAACCCCGUGAUGGGGUCCGAACUGGUUUUCUUGAGUGCAGGAGAGGAAAGCGGAAUUCCCAGUGUAGCGGUGAAAUGCGUAGAUAUUGGGAAGAACACCAGUGGCGAAGGCGGCUUUCUGGACUCUAACUGACGCUGAGGCUCGAAAGCUAGGGUAGCGCACGG